rnacentral:tRNA from 1 species
GGGGCUGUAGCUCAGUGGCAGAGCACUUACCUAGCAAGUGUGAAGUACUGGGUUCGAUCCUCAGCACCA